rnacentral:rRNA from 1 species
UACAGAGGUCCCAAGCGUUAAUCGGAAUUACUGGGCGUAAAGCGUGCGCAGGCGGUUUUGUAAGUCAGAUGUGAAAUCCCCGGGCUUAACCUGGGAACUGCGUUUGAAACUACAAGGCUAGAGUGUGGCAGAGGGGGGUGGAAUUCCACGUGUAGCAGUGAAAUGCGUAGAGAUGUGGAGGAACACCGAUGGCGAAGGCAGCCCCCUGGGUUAACACUGACGCUCAGGCACGAAAGCGUGGGGAGCAAACAGG